rnacentral:lncRNA from 1 species
UUUAAUUCUUUCGCAAAUAGCAAACCUGCAAACUGGACAUUGUCCGUGGCUCUUCACCCACGGGACAAUGCACUCUUCGUGGAACAUAUGAUUACACGGAGUGAGCAUCACCAUUUGCCGAGGUUCAAACUCUUCUAAGCAUAUUGCACAGUUCUUCCCAUCUUCAUCUGCCUCUUUUUCCUUUGUACUUGCAUUGUUGUUGACAUUUUUUUCGCGAUAAUACAGACUUAAGCUUCGCAUUAUCUUUUUGGCUGCAGGGUUAUAGAUUUCCCUCUUCAGCUUUUUCAGAGCUGCUUCUUGCUCUUCCGGGGACAAAAUUGACUGUUCUUGUGCAGGAAAGGGGAAAUGAUCUCGCG